rnacentral:rRNA from 1 species
GACAGAGGAGGCAAGCGUUAUCCGGAAUUAUUGGGCGUAAAGCGAUCGUAAGUGGCUAGGCAAGUCUGGGGUUAAAGCCCGCAGCCUAACUCCGGAUCGGCCCUGGAAACUGCCAGGCUAGAGUAAGGUAGGGGUUGCGGGAAUUCCCGGUGUAGCGGUGAAAUGCGUAGAGAUCGGGAAGAACACCUGUGGCGAAAGUGCGCAACUGGGCCAUUACUGACACUGAGGGACGAAAGCUAGGGGAGCGAAUGGG